rnacentral:rRNA from 1 species
AAUAAACGCUGGCGGCGUGCCUAACACAUGCAAGUCGAUCGAGAAAGCCCGGCUUCGGUUGGGCGAGUAAAGUGGCGCACGGGUGAGUAACGCGUAGGUAACCUACCCCUGUGUUCGGGAUAACAGUGCGAAAGCGCUGCUAAUACCGGAUGUGGCCGAAGGGCGGCGGUUCUUUGGUCAAAGUGGGCCUCUCGAAGAAGCUCACGCGCGGGGAUGGGCCUGCGUCCUAUCAGCUAGUUGGUAGGGUAACGGCCUACCAAGGCGACGACGGGUAGCUGGUCUGAGAGGAUGAUCAGCCACACUGGCACUGGAACACGGGCCAGACUCCUACGGGAGGCAGCAGUGAGGAAUUUUGCGCAAUGGCCGCAAGGCUGACGCAGCAACGCCGCGUGGGUGAAGAAGGCCUUCGGGUCGUAAAGCCCUGUCAGGUGGGAAGAAUGUCGAGGGUCCUAAUAUGUCCUUCGAGUGACGGUACCACCAGAGGAAGCACCGGCUAACUCCGUGCCAGCAGCCGCGGUAAUACGGAGGGUGCAAGCGUUAUUCGGAAUUACUGGGCGUAAAGCGCGUGCAGGCGGGCGGACAAGUCUGAUGUGAAAGCCCUGGGCUCAACCUGGGAAGUGCAUUGGAAACUGUUCGUCUUGAGUUCUGGAGAGGAAGGGGGAAUUCCCGGUGUAGAGGUGAAAUUCGUAGAGAUCGGGAGGAAUACCAGUGGCGAAGGCGCCCUUCUGGACGGCAACUGACGCUGAGACGCGAAAGCGUGGGGAGCAAACAGGAUUAGAUACCCUGGUAGUCCACGCUGUAAACGAUGAGCACUAGGUGUAGCGGGUACUCAUUCCUGCUGUGCCGCAGCUAACGCGUUAAGUGCUCCGCCUGGGGAUUACGGUCGCAAGACUA